rnacentral:rRNA from 1 species
GACGAACGCUGGCGGCGUGCUUAACACAUGCAAGUCGAACGGUGAAGCGCUUGCCUUUUUGGUGGGUGUGGAUGAGUGGCGAACGGGUGAGUAACACGUGAGUAACCUGCCCUCUUCUUCUGGAUAACCUCAUGAAAGUGGGGCUAAUACGGGGUAUUCCGGGUCUGUCGCAUGGCGGGUUUGGGAAAGAUUACGCCUUUGGGUGUUUUCGGUGGGGGAUGGGCUCGCGGCCUAUCAGCUUGUUGGUGGGGUGAUGGCCUACCAAGGCGGUGACGGGUAGCCGGCCUGAGAGGGUGGACGGCCACACUGGGACUGAGACACGGCCCAGACUCCGGCGGGAGGCAGCAGUGGGGAAUAUUGCGCAAUGGGCGCAAGCCUGAUGCAGCGACGCCGCGUGAGGGAUGGAGGCCUUCGGGUUGUGAACCUCUUUCGCCAGUGAAGCAGGCCUGCUCCUGUGUGGGUGGGUUGACGGUAGCUGGAUAAGAAGCGCCGGCUAACUACGUG